ACUGAGCAGCGCAGCGAGCCCCUGCCCCAACAAGAAUAAAUAAAAACACGCCACACGCGCUUGUUAUUACCGCUGCCUUCGCCGCCAACACGCUGAUCGCUCUUUCUUUAUCUAAUUUGGUCGCCUUAAACUGGUUGCCGCGCCAAUGUCAGGGCCAUGGCAGAGGGGAUUGACUGGUCCCCUCUUAAAACUAUAAGAAUGUUUUUUUCAAGCCACGCCACUGGACCACACGUACGCAUUCGGCUUUUGCAGAGCAACGGAGUUUUUGUUUUUGAGCGGCUUAGUCAAUAGCCAGCUGAUUAAGAAAUGAAUUUAAUUGUUACUUUCGG